ensembl:misc_RNA Metazoa_SRP Metazoan signal recognition particle RNA
GCCAGGCGUGGUGGCGUGUGCCUGUAAUCCCAGCUACUUAGGAGGCUGAGGCAGGAGAAUCACUUGAACCCAGGUGGCAGAGGUUGCAGUGAGCCGAGAUCAUGCCACUGCACUCCAGCCUGGGUGACAGAGUGAGACUCCGUCUCAA